rnacentral:lncRNA from 1 species
ACAGUCUAUGCUCGCUAUCCCAAGGUUCAUUGCGAUCCCAAGGUUCACUGCGGUUUUCCACAAGCCUGUUUCUGCCUAUCACCAUGAGUGAUUCCUUGAUACUCAUAUUUAUCAUCAAGAUCUCAAUUAUAAGCUCAAGUCUUGAUGACAACUUGAUGAUCUGCAGGAAGCACCACCAUGUAUAGAGGGCAAAGACCACUCUGGAAUCAGUCAAGGGUGAAAUGGAGUGAGGCAUACAAGGAUAUGUGUGGUUUUACUCUUGGGAAGGAGGUUGAACAGUGCAAUAUUUCUUCUAUAGGA